rnacentral:rRNA from 1 species
GACGUAGGGCGCGAGCGUUGUCCGGAUUUAUUGGGCGUAAAGAGCUCGUAGGCGGUUUGUUGCGUCGGCUGUGAAAACCCGGGGCUCAACUCCGGGCCUGCAGCCGAUACGGGCAGACUAGAGUUCGGCAGGGGAGACUGGAAUUCCUGGUGUAGCGGUGAAAUGCGCAGAUAUCAGGAGGAACACCGGUGGCGAAGGCGGGUCUCUGGGCCGAUACUGACGCUGAGGCACGAAAGCGUGGGGAGCAAACAGG